CAUCGCCUCCUGCAAAACUCAAAGCAUAGGAGGUCCAGCCUGCCCAGUGACCAUAAGUUCAACGGCCGCGGUAUUUUGACCGUGCAAAGGUAGCGCAAUCACUUGUCUUUUAAAUGAAGACCUGUAUGAAUGGCUAAACGAGGGCUUAACUGUCUCCCCUUCCGAGUCAGUGAAAUUGAUCUGCCCGUGCAGAAGCGGACAUAAAGAUACAAGACGAGAAGACCCUUUGGAGCUUAAGGUUCAAGCCCAACCGCGUCAAACAACUUUCUUAAUAAGAACUAAACUUUAGCGGAUAAUGGAGCUUUACCUUCGGUUGGGGCGACCACGGAGAAAAAUAAAUCCUCCGAGUGGAUUGGGAUAAUAAACCUAAAACUAAGAAAGACAUUUCUAAGGCACAGAAAAUCUGACCAACAAUGAUCCGGCCAACCAGCCGAUCAACGAACCAAGUUACCCUAGGGAUAACAGCGCAAUCCUCUCCCAGAGUCCAUAUCGACGAGGGGGUUUACGACCUCGAUGUUGGAUCAGGACAUCCUAAUGGUGCAGCCGCUAUUAAGGGUUCGUUUGUUCAACGAUUAAAGUCCUACAUGAUCUGAGUU
rnacentral:rRNA from 1 species